rnacentral:lncRNA from 1 species
AUCAGGUAAAUGGAGAAUGUUAACUGACUUAAGAGCCAUCAAUUCAGUUAUACAACCUAUGGGAACAUUACAGCCAGGAUUGUCUUCUCCUGCUGUAAUUCCAAAAAAAUGGCCUUUAAUACUCAUAGAUUUAAAAGACUGUUUCUUUACUAUCCCUUUAGCUGAGCAAGACUGUGAACAGUUUGCAUUUAUAAUUCCUGCAGUAAACAACCUGCAGCCUGCUAAGCAUUUUCAUUGUUUCACAGAUGGGUCUAAUAAUGGUAAAGCUUCUUAUUCUGGCUCGAAAAGUAAAGUUUUCCAGACUCCCUAUAAAAAGCAAAGCUUGUAGCUGUAAUUAAGGUAUUGACUGUUUUUGAUAUGCCUAUUAAUGUGAUUUCUGAUUCUUCAUACGUGGUUCAUUCCACACAGUUAAUUGAAAAUGCUCAGUUACAAUUUCAUACAGAUGAACAAUUGAUAAUAAAAACAAAAAAGGGGGAGAAACAGGGAUUUGGGACAGCCCAUACACAAUUGAAUCUAGCAUUAUUAACUUUAAAUUUUUUGAGCCUGCCCAAAGGCCAGAUGUUAUCAGUAGCUGAAUAGCAUCUACAGAAACCAGCUGCAAAGCCAGAAGCAGAACAACUGAUUUGGUGGUGAGAUCCAAUAACAAAAAAUUGGGAAAUAGGUAAAAUAAUAACUUGGGGUAGAGGUUAUGCUUAUGUCUCUCCAGGCCAAAAUCAACAGCCGAUUUGGAUACCAUCAAGACACCUGAAACCUUAUCAUGAGCCAGAUGCCAAGGAAGAGAUUCCAGGAGGAUCCCAAGGACCCCCUGUUGCAGCCGUGUUGAGGCUGAUGCUCAGGAGGACCCCAACUGUCACAAGCAACACCUGUUGAACACAACCACCCACCGGAGGACAGAUCAAGAAGCUGUCACAGAUGGCAGAAGAAAACCUAAGGAAAGCGAGACAGCCAGUCACAAUGAGUAAUUUAAUAGUAGCUACGAUAGUGAUGAUCACCAUUGCCUCUGCAGAUGCGGAUCCUGACUCCUAUGAGAAGUAGCUCACCGUGACAAAGGUGUCUGGCUCUCCCAGGCCAAGCAACACCAUCAUACCCAGGUGAUUGCGCAACUUCCAGGCCCACCCAGGAACACCCACAGGUGGA